CUACGGGGUGCUGCAGUGAGGAAUAUUGGUCAAUGGGCGCAAGCCUGAACCAGCCAUGCCGCGUGAAGGAUGAAGGCCUUAUGGGUUGUAAACUUCUUUUAUACGGGAAUAAACUUAGCUAUGUAUAGCUAACUGCAGGUACCGUAAGAAUAAGCACCGGCUAACUCCGUGCCAGCAGCCGCGGUAAUACGGAGGGUGCAAGCGUUAUCCGGAUUUAUUGGGUUUAAAGGGUCCGCAGGCGGACUAAUAAGUCAGUGGUGAAAUCUCUCGGCUCAACCGAGAAACUGCCAUUGAUACUGUUAGUCUAGAGUGUAGUUGGCGUAGGCGGAAUGUAUCAUGUAGCGGUGAAAUGCUUAGAUAUGAUACAGAACACCGAUCGCGAUGGCAGCUUACGAAACUACAACUGACGCUCAGGGACGGAAGCGUGGGGAGCGAACAGGAUUAGAUACCCCCGUAGUC
rnacentral:rRNA from 1 species